CGCAGUGCUGGUCCGAGCUGGGCGGGGUUCUCCUUCGACUGCAUUCUCGGUGUUCCCUAGCAAGGCAGUGAUUGUUCCCGGGAACAGAGGCGGGGAUGUGGCCACCCAGGCCUGGUAUGGCUGGGUAAGAAAGCGACUGAGCAAGUUUCCGGUUUUCUGUGUCUGGCUAGAAACAUGCCUGACCCAACCUCAUUUUAAAAGUGGUGAGCUGCUGUUCAUUAGAGGUGGAACCGCAUUACUUACAGACUGCCCCCUCUGAGUACCAGACUGUUUCACCCUGAACACAGUUACAGCUCGAGAGAGCAUCUGGCUGCCCUUCCUGAAGACAGAGCUGCACUGUGAUGAGAAGACCAUCAUCAUAGGCCAGAGUUCCGGGGCUAUCGCAGCAGCAAUGAGGUAUGCAGAGACACAGGAGUGGAAGGCUUGCCUGGCCCUGUCUCAGAAAAGAAACAGCAAGUAGACUCAGUUUCAGUGACUGGUCCAUACCCAGCAUGGCAGGGAGCAUGGCACAGAUGGGCAAGCUUGGCGCUGGAACAGUAGCUGCGAGCCUACAUCCUGAUACACAUACACGAGGAGACUCAGAGAAAAGCUAACUGAAGUCAUCAUGGGCUUUUGAAACUUCAAGCCCACUGACAGUGACACACCUUCUUCAAUGUCACUACCUCUUCUAAUUCUGCCCCAAAAGUUCCACUAAACAUCAGCUACAUGAGCCUUAGGAGGCCAUUCUCCUGCAAACCGUCAUAUAGUUCAGAUCAACGAGAAAAGAAUCUGCUACCCAGAAGAAGACAACCGGAAAGAAGAUUUGGUUUUUUUAAUCAAUAAUAAAUAAAUGCAAGUAGCUUUUUAAAAAGAGUGGCAACACAGUAGAGUUUUAAAAUAGCACAAUUAAAGAGAUAACAAAAAUUAGCGACAAUGCAAUCACUUUUCUCUUCUUCAUUUAAGAAAUAGUCAAAAGUUCUGAACUUCAUUGUAUAUGGUGUCAGGGACUCUAGCCUGGGGAUCAAGUUAUAUUUAUCAAUAUUUAACUAUAUAGGCUCUUUCACCUCGUUGUUCUACUUUCAUAAAUUUGUCCUAAAGAUGUAAA